rnacentral:rRNA from 1 species
CCUACGGGUGGCUGCAGUGGGGAAUAUUGGACAAUGGGGGAAACCCUUAUCCAGCGACGCCGCGUGAGGGAAGAAGGUUUUCGGAUUGUAAACCUCUGUCAGUGGGGACGAUAAUGACGGUACCCACGGAGGAAGCCACGGCUAACUACGUACCAGCAGCCGCGGUAAUACGUAGGUGGCAAUCGUUGUCAGGAAUUACUGGGUGUAAAGGGAGAGUAGGCGGGAUGUCAAGUCAGAAUUGAAAAUUAUGGGCUUAACUCAUAACCUGCUUUUGAAACUGAGAUUCUUGAGUGAAGUAGAGGCAAGCGGAAUUACUAGUGUAGCGGUGAAAUGCGUAGAUAGUAGGAGGAACACCAGUGGCGAAGGCGGCUUGCUGGGCUUUUACUGACGCUGAGGCUCGAAAGUGUGGGGAGCAAACAGGAUUAGAUACCCCGGUAGUC